rnacentral:rRNA from 1 species
GACGAACGCUGGCGGCGUGCUUAACACAUGCAAGUCGAACGGAAAGGCCCUGCUUUUGUGGGGUGCUCGAGUGGCGAACGGGUGAGUAACACGUGAGUAACCUGAUCUUGACUUUGGGAUAACUUCAGGAAACUGGGGCUAAUACCGGAUAGGAGCUCCUGCUGCAUGGUGGGGGUUGGAAAGUUUCGGCGGUUGGGGAUGGACUCGCGGCUUAUCAGCUUGUUGGUGGGGUAGUGGCUUACCAAGGCUUUGACGGGUAGCCGGCCUGAGAGGGUGACCGGCCACAUUGGGACUGAGAUACGGCCCAGACUCCUACGGGAGGCAGCAGUGGGGAAUAUUGCACAAUGGGCGGAAGCCUGAUGCAGCAACGCCGCGUGCGGGAUGACGGCCUUCGGGUUGUAAACCGCUUUCGCCUGUGACGAAGCGUGAGUGACGGUAAUGGGUAAAGAAGCACCGGCUAACUACGUG